UACGUAGGGGGCAAGCGUUGUCCGGAAUCAUUGGGCGUAAAGAGCGUGUAGGCGGCCCGAUAAGUCCGCUGUGAAAGUCCAGGGCUCAACCCUGGAAUGCCGGUGGAUACUGUCGGGCUCGAAUCCGGAAGAGGUGAGUGGAAUUCCUGGUGUAGCGGUGAAAUGCGCAGAUAUCAGGAGGAAUACCCAUAGCGAAGGCAGCUCGCUGGGACGUUACUGACGCUGAGGCGCGAAAGCGUGGGGAGCGAACAGG
rnacentral:rRNA from 1 species